rnacentral:rRNA from 1 species
CCUACGGGAGGCUGCAGUAAGGAAUAUUGGUCAAUGGACGCAAGUCUGAACCAGCCAUGCCGCGUGGAGGAUGAAGGUCCUCUGGAUUGUAAACUUCUUUUAUCUGGGAAGAAACCCAUAGAUUCUUCUGUGGUUGACGGUACCAGAUGAAUAAGCACCGGCUAACUCCGUGCCAGCAGCCGCGGUAAUACGGAGGGUGCAAGCGUUAUCCGGAUUCACUGGGUUUAAAGGGUGCGUAGGCGGGUUGAUAAGUCCGUGGUGAAAUCUCCGAGCUUAACUCGGAAACUGCCGUGGAUACUAUCGGUCUUGAAUGUCGUGGAGGUAAGCGGAAUAUGUCAUGUAGCGGUGAAAUGCUUAGAUAUGACAUAGAACACCAAUUGCGUAGGCAGCUUACUACACGAUUAUUGACGCUGAGGCACGAAAGCGUGGGGAGCAAACAG